CCUACGGGGGGCAGCAGUGGGGAAUAUUGGGCAAUGGGCGCAAGCCUGACCCAGCAACGCCGCGUGAAGGAAGAAGGCUUUCGGGUUGUAAACUUCUUUUCUCAGGGACGAAGCAAGUGACGGUAACUGAGGAAUAAGCCACGGCUAACUACGUGCCAGCAGCCGCGGUACUACGUAGGUGGCAAGCGUUAUCCGGAUUUACUGGGUGUAAAGGGCGUGUAGGCGGGAAGGCAAGUCAGUUGUGAAAACCAUGGGCUCAACCGGUGGCUUGCAUUUGAACCUGGUGUUCUUGAGUACUGGAGAGGCAGACGGAAUUCCUAGUGUAGCGGUGAAAUGCGUAGAUAUUAGGAGGAACACCAGUGGCGAAGGCGGUCUGCUGGACAGCAACUGACGCUGAGGCGCGAAAGCGUGGGGAGCAAACAGGAUUAGAUACCCGAGUAGUC
rnacentral:rRNA from 1 species